UAUAAGCCCACAGAGCAUUACUUUAUGGA
rnacentral:piRNA from 1 species